rnacentral:tRNA from 1 species
GCGAGAGUGGCGGAAUUGGUAGACGCACUGGAUUUAGGUUCCAGCGCCUUAGGGUGUAAGAGUUCGAGUCUCUUCUUUCGCACCA